CGUUCCCUCUCAAGUGAAUUUUGCAGCUGGUGUUUGGGUGCGUGGGUAUCCUUAGCCGAUUGGGAGGCUUAUGUUUGAGGAAUUAGGCAUGAAGGGCAGAUUUCCCAGACAUUAAGAGCAGAGAAAGGACCCAGCUGGUUGGUCUCAAAGGCUGGGAGAGACUCAGAGACUGAGGUGAGGAAGGGGACACUCCGAAGGGGGUGUGCAGAAGGGAUGUCCCCACUCUUGCUUGAGGUCAGAAAGGGCUCUCUGGGCAGUGUGCCCAGCCCUCCCACACCUUCCUCCUUUCUCAGAAGAGCCAGGACGGGGCGGGGGCAGGAGUUGGCUGGGGCAGAUGGGGCCCUAUUUAAGAAGCUCCCUCUGAGAGCAUCGCUGCAGAUCCAGCCCUGGGAGCGAGAGAGGAGGCUCCAUUGAUGAGAUUUUCGGGGAGCUGGGACUCCUGGGCUGCUGUUUUGGGCAUCCAUAUGAGGAGCUCCCUUCUGGCUCAGGAAGCCACUUCGUCUCUAGAAAGAUGCUGCCUUUCUCAGUAGUUUAACAUAUCAGAGAUCACAUGAUGUUGACUUGU